rnacentral:rRNA from 1 species
CUCGUAGGCGGUUCGAUAAGUCGGGUGUGAAACCUCCAGGCUCAACCUGGAGACGCCACCCGAUACUGUCGUGACUAGAGUCCAGUAGGGGAGCGUGGAAUUCCUGGUGUAGCGGUGAAAUGCGCAGAUAUCAGGAGGAACACCAGCGGCGAAGGCGGCGCUCUGGGCUGGAACUGACGCUGAGGAGCGAAAGCGUGGGGAGCGAACAGGAUUAGAUACCCUGGUAGUCCACGCCGUAAACGUUGGGUACUAGGUGUGGGGUCUUAUCAACGGAUUCCGUGCCGAAGCUAACGCAUUAAGUACCCCGCCUGGGGAGUACGGCCGCAAGGCUAAA